rnacentral:rRNA from 1 species
UGCCAGCCGCCGCGGUAAUACGGAGGGGGUUAGCGUUGUUCGGAAUUACUGGGCGUAAAGCGCGCGUAGGCGGAUCGACAAGUUGGGGGUGAAAUCCCGGGGCUUAACCCCGGGACUGCCCUCAAAACUGUCGAUCUAGAGACCGGGAGAGGUAAGCGGAAUUCCUAGUGUAGAGGUGAAAUUCGUAGAUAUUCGGAGGAACACCAGUGGCGAAGGCGGCUCACUGGCUCGAUACUGACGCUGAGGUGCGAAAGCGUGGGGAGCAAACAGGAUUAGAUA